AACGAACGAUGGCGGCAUGCCUAACACAUGCAAGUCGAACGAUAUCUUCGGGUCUAGUGGCGCACGGGUGCGUAACGCGUGGGAAUCUGCCCUUUGGUUCGGAAUAACAGUUGGAAACGACUGCUAAUACCGGAUGAUGACGAAAGUCCAAAGAUUUAUCGCCAGAGGAUGAGCCCGCGUAGGAUUAGCUAGUUGGUGUGGUAAAGGCGUACCAAGGCGACGAUCCUUAGCUGGUCUGAGAGGAUGAGCAGCCACACUGUGACUGAGACACGGCCCAGACUCCUACGGGAGGCAGCAGUGGAGAAUAUUGGACAAUGGGCGAAAGCCUGAUCCAGCAAUGCCGCGUGAGUAAUGAAGGCCUUAGGGUUGUAAAGCUCUUUUACCCGGGAUGAUAAUGACAGUACCGGGAGAAUAAGCUCCGGCUAACUCCGUGCCAGCCGCCGCGGUAA
rnacentral:rRNA from 1 species